rnacentral:other from 1 species
CGGCCUCUGCCAAGUUGACCUUGGGCCUUUAUGUGUUGACCCUACAAGUACUGUUUCGGGAGCCUCAAGCCCGUUCGGCUGCGUGUAAACCCGGCAUUGCGACCGGGGAACACAACCCGAACCUGAGGCACCCACUUAGACACUCCGGGUCUGAACAUGUUUACUCCCAUCGUCCGGCGGAGGUUUU